AGUGAACGCUGGCGGUAGGCCUAACACAUGCAAGUCGAACGGCAGCACAGUAAGAGCUUGCUCUUACGGGUGGCGAGUGGCGGACGGGUGGGGAAUACAUCGGAAUCUACUUUUUCGUGGGGGAUAACGUAGGGAAACUUACGCUAAUACCGCAUACGACCUACGGGUGAAAGCAGGGGAUCUUCGGACCUUGCGCGAUUGAAUGAGCCGAUGUCGGAUUAGCUAGUUGGCGGGGUAAAGGCCCACCAAGGCGACGAUCCGUAGCUGGUCUGAGAGGAUGAUCAGCCACACUGGAACUGAGACACGGUCCAGACCCCUACGGGAGGCAGCAGUGGGGAAUAUUGGACAAUGGGCGCAAGCCUGAUCCAGCCAUACCGCGUGGGUGAAGAAGGCCUUCGGGUUGUAAAGCCCUUUUGUUGGGAAAGAAAAGCAGCAGGUUAAUACCCCGCUGUUCUGACGGUACCCAAAGAAUAAGCACCGGCUAACUUCGUG
rnacentral:rRNA from 1 species